rnacentral:rRNA from 1 species
GAUGAACGCUGGCGGCGUGCCUAAUACAUGCAAGUCGAGCGAACGGACGAGAAGCUUGCUUCUCUGAUGUUAGCGGCGGACGGGUGAGUAACACGUGGAUAACCUACCUAUAAGACUGGGAUAACUUCGGGAAACCGGAGCUAAUACCGGAUAAUAUUUUGAACCGCAUGGUUCAAAAGUGAAAGACGGUCUUGCUGUCACUUAUAGAUGGAUCCGCGCUGCAUUAGCUAGUUGGUAAGGUAACGGCUUACCAAGGCAACGAUGCAUAGCCGACCUGAGAGGGUGAUCGGCCACACUGGAACCGAGACACCGUCCAGACUCCUACGGGAGGCCGCAGUAGGGAAUCCUCCGCAAUGGGCGGAAGCCUGACGGAGCCACGGCGCGUGAGUUAUGGAAGGCCUCGGAUCGUAAAACUCUGUUAUUAGGGAAGAACAUAUGUGUAAGUAACUGUGCACAUCUUGACGGUACCUAAUCAGAAAGCCACGGCUAACUACGUG